rnacentral:lncRNA from 1 species
GUGCUACUUCAGGAUUCAUGCACAUUGCUGUAACCACUGCCCAGCAAAACGUCUUAGUUUUGAUAUUUUUACCAAUUUUUAUGCUUGAUUUUUCAGCACCUACAUCACAUACAUCAACAGGAAAUCGUAAAAAAUUCUCUGAACAGCAAAGUCACACAACAACUGUAUCUUUAGUGAUCUCGUUAAUUUUUGGAAUUCUGUUCUUUGGGACCGUGGUGUUUCUGAUUGGUCGUCGCUGGAGUGAGCAAUGUUUCAGACGAGGAUAUUCACGUGUUGAUUAUCUGCUCAAUGAUUAUGAUUAAUGUUCUGUGACAUUCAAGGUACUUUAUUAAUGAUUACAGUCGUUGCAUUUUGAUGAGCGUAAUCACUGGCGUAUGCUUUGACUCUGGUGGAGACUUUGUGAAAUAUGUUUGUCCGAAUUCUUAAAGCUGGUUUAUACUAUCGAAGUUUCUGUGAUCACAGUAGGAUCGAUUUUUGCAUGGGUAAAUUCUUUGUAAGAACAGGGUUCGUACGCCCCCUGAAAAUCCUGGAAAACCCUGCAUUUUUAUUUUAGUCCUGAAAAACCCUUGACAACGCUGGAAUUUCAAAUUUAUCCCUUGAAAACCUGGGAAAACUGAGAAACUGAGCUGGGUAUAGGAUCAUACCUAAACUAUUUAAUACUAUCUUGAAAAGAAAGAUUGAACAAAAGUUUCUUGCAAUAUUAUAUAUAGUCGCAGGCUCGCAGCAUUUCUUGGGCAUAUCCUUCCAUUAAUUCCCCGGAGGGGUAGCUGGCCGGGGUUAGGGCUUGCGGUUAGGUUGCGGGGUUAGUAGGUGGGGUUAGGGGUUAGAAGGUGGGGUUAGGGGUUAGGAUUAGGGUUAGGAUUAGGGUUUUUACCCAACAACGCGCGCUGAAUUACCCAACAACGCGCGCUGAAUUACCCAACAACGCGCGCUGAAUGAUGGGAAUUGACACCUCGGGGCAGUCCCAUGGUCCUUUGCGUUAUAUUCAAUUUCAUCGCAUUCCCAUGAAUCAUUGCAUGAAUAAGCAAUGUUAGGGACUGUGGAAGAGUCGGGCCGUCGCGAAAGUUUCUUAUCGGUUAAACACUGAUAUUUAUAUUUCAAAUGCCCCUGGUAAAUCCUUGGAAAAGGAUGAAAAAAGUCCUGGAAAACCCUGGAUUUUUUAAACUAUGAAGGUGUACGAACCCCGUAAGAAAGUUUUGAGGGAAAUGACUAAUUAAACACCAAGUCAGUUUCCUCAAACAUUUCUUACAAAUCCUUCAAAAGUUAGAAUUGACCUAUGCAAAAUUCCUACUGUGAUCACAGAAACUUUGAUAGUGUAAACCAUGCAGCCUUUAUAUAAGCUUCUCGAAUAGAUGGGCUGCGGAAUUAUAGAUGCUGUAUUGGAGAACAUAUGUAUAGCACAUGGCAGAUAAUUAUUUAAUCUAAAUUAGAGAUAUAGGAAUUAAAUUAUUAGUAUUAAAUGUUAAGUUAUGAUUUGACGAUGCCAAUAAAAUAAUUUACUGAUAACCAAUAAUUCGAGGGGUAAUUUUUUAAUCCCAAGAAUCUUCGUAUCCGUUUCUCGGAGUAAUUUACCCCUCGCAAUAAUCCUCUGAAAAAAUGUGCACGCGAGAUUUAAAUCUCAACCUUCAGGACUCUAGUCCACUGCUCUUCUUGUUGAGCUAUCAAGCCUAUGGAGAUUGCUCGUGAGUUCUUAUGCUUUAUUAGUGCAGAGUUUCUUUGAAACUGUGCACUAUUGUGAUGACUGGGAAAAUUCACAUCAGUCAGUCAGUCAAUCAGUCAUAGAGUUAACUUUCCGGGGGGUGUAUUAUGUGUAUACGAUUUAUGUUUGUAGUGAUUUAUUGUGCUUUGAAGGUUAUUUAGGCAAUUUCAGUUGUUUUAUUUAAAUAUUCUUUUGUUCUUUUGCCAAGUUCACAAAAAUUUCGAGGAAUCGUUGUCGUUAUUGUAAAUUUUUGUAAAUUUUAAAACAUUCGCUUCUCAUGUUGUGUGAAGGAUCUUUCCUCCGGAAAACCCAUUUUUUUCCUUAGCAACGCAAAUGCGCAUGCGCUAUCA